GGCGACGUCGCCAAGUGGUAAGGCAGAGGUCUGCAAAAUCUCCACCAUCAGUUCGAAUCUGAUCGUCGCCUCCA
rnacentral:tRNA from 3 species